GUCGUGGUGGUGUAGUGGUAUCACACCUGGUUAAGUUUGGGCACGUGGUUCUUUCGCUUAGCGUGGUCCCGAUAAAUCAGGAGGUCGCAGGUUCAAUCCCUGUCCACGGCU
rnacentral:tRNA from 1 species